rnacentral:rRNA from 1 species
CAUUACACAAAUAUGAAGGCGGGCUGGAACCUCUCGGGGUUACAGCCUUGCUGAAUUAUUCACCCUUGUCUUUUGCGUACUUCUUGUUUCCUUGGUGGGUUCGCCCACCACUAGGACAAACAUAAACCUUUUGUAAUUGCAAUCAGCGUCAGUAACAAAUUAAUAAUUACAACUUUCAACAACGGAUCUCUUGGUUCUGGCAUCGAUGAAGAACGCAGCGAAAUGCGAUAAGUAGUGUGAAUUGCAGAAUUCAGUGAAUCAUCGAAUCUUUGAACGCACAUUGCGCCCUUUGGUAUUCCAAAGGGCAUGCCUGUUCGAGCGUCAUUUGUACCCUCAAGCUUUGCUUGGUGUUGGGCGUCUUGUCUCUAGCUUUGCUGGAGACUCGCCUUAAAGUAAUUGGCAGCCGGCCUACUGGUUUCGGAGCGCAGCACAAGUCGCACUCUCUAUCAGCAAAGGUCUAGCAUCCAUUAAGCCUUUUUUUCAACUUUUGACCUCGGAUCAGGUAGGGAUACCCGCUGAACUUAAGCAUAUCAAUAAGCGGAGGAAAAGAAACCAACAGGGAUUGCCCUAGUAACGGCGAGUGAAGCGGCAACAGCUCAAAUUUGAAAUCUGGCUCUUUUAGAGUCCGAGUUGUAAUUUGCAGAGGGCGCUUUGGCUUUGGCAGCGGUCCAAGUUCCUUGGAACAGGACGUCACAGAGGGUGAGAAUCCCGUACGUGGUCGCUGGGCUAUUGCCGUGUAAGCCCCUUC